rnacentral:rRNA from 1 species
AGAGUUUGAUCCUGGCUCAGAACGAACGCUGGCGGCGUAGAUUAGGCAUGCAAGUCGAGCGAGAUUUCGUGUUACAAGUCUUCGGAUGAGUAAUGCGGAUGACAGCGGCGAAAGGGUGAGUAAUGCGUGGGUAAUUUGCCUUUAAGUUGGGGAUACCCCUGGGAAACUGGGGACAAUACCGAAUGUGGUGAGUCUUCGCAUGGAGACGAAUCCAAAGGCGGGUCGCAAGGCCUGUCGCUUAAAGAUGAGCCCACGUCCUAUCAGCUAGUUGGUGAGGUAACGGCUCACCAAGGCUUACGGGUAGCCGACCUGAGAGGGUGAUCGGCCACACUGGGACUGAGACACUGCCCAGACUCCUACGGGAGGCUGCAGUCGAGAAUCUUGGACAAUGCGCGAAAGCGUGAUCCAGCGACGCCGCGUGGAGGAUGAAGGCCUUCGGGUUGUAAACUCCUGUUGUUAGGGAGCAACUAGUGGUGGGUUAAUACCCCAUCGCCUUGAUAGUACCUGACGAGAAAGCCACGGCUAACUCUGUGCCAGCAGCCGCGGUAAUACAGAGGUGGCAAGCGUUGUUCGGAUUUACUGGGCGUAAAGGGUGCGUAGGAGGUCGUGUGUGUCGGAUGUGAAAUCUUGCUGUUCAUCGGCAAAACUGCAUUCGAAACUACACGACUAGAGUACAGGAGAGGAGAGCAGAAUUCUCGGUGUAGCGGUGAAAUGCGUUGAUAUCGAGAGGAAUGCCGGUGGUGAAGACGGCUCUCUGGACUGUAACUGACUCUGAGGCACGAAAGCUAGGGGAGCAAACAGGAUUAGAUACCCUGGUAGUCCUAGCCGUAAACGGUGUGCACUUGGUGUGGGAGGAUUUAUCCCCUUCCGUGCCGUAGCUAACGCGUUAAGUGCACCGCCUGGGGAGUACGGCCGCAAGGCUAAAACUCAAAGAAAUUGACGGGGGCCCGCACAAGCGGUGGAGCAUGUGGCUUAAUUCGAUGCAACGNGAAGAACCUUACCAAGGCUUGACAUGCAAUUGCACGCUCUGCGAAAGCAGAGCUCCUUCGAGGGUAUUGCACAGGUGCUGCAUGGCUGUCGUCAGCUCGUGCCGUGAGGUGUUUGGUUAAGUCCAGCAACGAGCGCAACCCUUGUGAAUAGUUGCUCGCCCUUUGGGCAGCACUCUAUUCAGACUGCCUGUGAUAAGCAGGAGGAAGGUGGGGAUGACGUCAAGUCCGUAUGGCCUUUAUGCCUUGGGCUGCACACGUGCUACAAUGAACGGUACAGAAAGAAGCAAGACCGCGAGGUGGAGCUAAUCUCCAAAACCGUUCCCAGUUCGGAUUGGAGUCUGAAACUCGACUCCAUGAAGCCGGAAUCGCUAGUAAUGGCGCAUCAGCUACGGCGCCGUGAAUACGUUCCCGGGCCUUGUACACACCGCCCGUCACAUCAUGAAAGCCGAUUGCACCCGAAAUAGCCGAUUCAACCCGCAAGGGAGAUAGGUUCCUAAGGUGUGGUUGGUGAUUGGGAUGAAGUCGUAACAAGGUAACC